GACGAACGCUGGCGGCGUGCUUAACACAUGCAAGUCGAACGAUUAAAGCUCUCUUCGGAGAGUGUAUAGAGUGGCGCACGGGUGAGUAACACGUAAGUAAUCUACCUUUGAGUGGGGAAUAACCCGGGGAAACCCGAGCUAAUACCGCAUAAUGCAGCGGCACCGCAAGGUGACAGUUGUUAAAGGAGCAAUCCGCUUAAAGAGGAGCUUGCGGCAGAUUAGCUAGUUGGAAGGUAAUGGCUUACCAAGGCUUCGAUCUGUAUCCGGCCUGAGAGGGCGGUCGGACACACUGACACUGAAUAACGGGUCAGACUCCUACGGGAGGCAGCAGUCGGGAAUUUUGGGCAAUGGGCGAAAGCCUGACCCAGCAACGCCGCGUGAAGGAUGAAGUAUUUUGGUAUGUAAACUUCGAAAGAAUGGGAAGAAUCAAUGACGGUACCAUUUAUAAGGUCCGGCUAACUACGUGCCA
rnacentral:rRNA from 1 species